rnacentral:tRNA from 1 species
GGUCGCCUGGCGAAACGGGAUCGCGUCUGACUACGAAUCAGGAGAUUGUAGGUUCGAGCCCUGCAGUGGUUA